rfam:Picea glauca, whole genome shotgun sequence.
ACAUGCCUACAACAUAGAAUUAAUGCACCAGAUCCCAUUAGAACUCCGCAGUUAAGUACUCUUGGGAUAGAGUAGUACUGGGAUGGGUGACCGCUUUGGAAGUCCUAGUAUUUUGCAUGCC